rnacentral:rRNA from 1 species
GAUGAACGCUGGCGGCGUGCCUAAUACAUGCAAGUCGAGCGAACAGACGAGGCUCUUGCUCCUCUGACGUUAGCGGCGGACGGGUGAGUAACACGUGGAUAACCUACCUAUAAGACUGGGAUAACUUCGGGAAACCGGAGCUAAUACAGGAUAAUAUAUUGAACCGCAUGGUUCAUUAGUGAAAGACGGUUUUGCUGUCACUUAUAGAUGGAUCCGCGCCGCAUUAGCUAGUUGGUAAGGUAACGGCUUACCAAGGCAACGAUGCGUAGCCGACCUGAGAGGGUGAUCGGCCACACUGGAACUGAGACACGGUCCAGACUCCUACGGGAGGCAGCAGUAGGGAAUCUUCCGCAAUGGGCGAAAGCCUGACGGAGCAACGCCGCGUGAGUGAUGAAGGUCUUCGGAUCGUAAAACUCUGUUAUUAGGGAAGAACAAAUGUGUAAGUAACUAUGCCCGUCUUGACGGUACCUAAUCAGAAAGCCACGGCUAACUACGUG